rnacentral:rRNA from 1 species
UACGGGGGAUGCAAGCGUUAUCCGGAAUUACUGGGCGUAAAGAGUCUGUAGGUGGCUUGAAAAGUCUGCUGUUAAAUAUUAAAGCUUAACUUUGAAAAAGCGGUAGAAACUAUUAAGCUAGAGCAUGGUAAGGGUAAAGGGAAUUCUCAGUGUAGCGGUGAAAUGCGUAGAUAUUGAGAAGAACACCAGUGGCGAAAGCGCUUUACUAGACCAUUGCUGACACUCAGAGACGAAAGCUAAGGGAGCAAAUGGG